UACGGAGGAUGCGAGCGUUAUCCGGAUUUAUUGGGUUUAAAGGGUGCGCAGGCGGCCUGUUAAGUCAGCGGUAAAAGCCCGGGGCCCAACCCCGGGACUGCUCUUGGAACUGCGUGGCUGGAGUGCAGGAGGGGCAGGCGGAAUUCCUGGUGUAGCGGUGAAAUGCGUAGAUAUCAGGAGGAACACCGGUGGCGAAGGCGGCCUGCUGGACUGCAACUGACGUUGAGGCCCGAAAGCGUGGGUAUCGAACAGG
rnacentral:rRNA from 1 species